rnacentral:rRNA from 1 species
UACGGGGGGAGCAAGCGUUGUUCGGAUUUACUGGGCGUAAAGGGCGCGUAGGCGGUAGCACAAGUCAGUUGUGAAAUCUCCGGGCUUAACUCGGAAAGGUCAACUGAUACUGUGCGACUAGAGUGCAGAAGGGGCAACUGGAAUUCUCGGUGUAGCGGUGAAAUGAGUAGAUAUCGAGAGGAACACCUGCGGCGAAGGCGGGUUGCUGGGCUGACACUGACGCUGAGGCGCGAAAGCCAGGGGAGCAAACAGG